rnacentral:rRNA from 1 species
GACGGAGGAUGCAAGUGUUAUCCGGAAUCACUGGGCGUAAAGCGUCUGUAGGUUGUUUAGUAAGUCAACUGUUAAAUCUUGAAGCUCAACUUCAAAACUGCAGUCGAAACUGCUAGACUAGAGUAUAGUAGAGGUAAAGGGAAUUUCCAGUGGAGCGGUGAAAUGCGUAGAUAUUGGAAAGAACACCAAUGGCGAAGGCACUUUACUGGGCUAUUACUGACACUCAGAGACGAAAGCUAGGGUAGCAAAUGGG